UUUUUUCCUACUUUCUACUAUAUUAGAAGUGUGAGUACAGUAGGUGAAGCAGACACCUCUUCGUCGACAUGUUUGCUUGCUGCUGGAGACAAUUUCGUCCUUACUGCUCUUGUGCUAUCCAAAUUCCUGUUGUGUCCCUGUAUUGGCUGAUUUGACUCGUUUAGAGAAAGGCUACAUAGGUAAUUUCGCAAGCCACUCUGACUGCCACCACCUAAAUCUCUGCUUUACCAAGAUUUUCCUUCGCAUCUCUCUUUUUGCUUUGUUUAGAUUCCCUUUGCUUCUCCGUUGACGCAUCAAUUUCUGCUAUAUAUUGACAAGAGAUUGUGAUUUUUGCUGAGUUUUUGCAAUUCAAUAUUUGCUCCAUCAAGAUAAUCACAGGUUAGAAGGUUAGUUUUACUCUUCCGUUUCUUUUUCUUCAACUGUUGUUGGGUUUGGAUUGUUUCCUAGUGGAUCUGCCUAAAUUAAUUCAACUUUGCAGUUUACACUCGAUUUUUUUAUGCAAUUUGUAUAAUCCAGGCCCUUAAAAUUUCUCUAUUCCAAUUUCGGUCUGCAAUUUUUGUUACAAUGUUUGGGGUAUUUCAAAUUUGCAUAUGCUUGUUAAUCCAUCUCUGUCCUUCAGAGUUAGAUUAUAAUUUCAUGUAUCCAGGGAGAUGAAGACGAGAAGUAGUACUUGGAACAAAAAAAGAGACCAGCUUGUUGUCUCGGUCGCAAGGCAAAAACACUCUGCUUCCUAAGAGCACGACAACUAUUAGGGACCUAAUAUAGCUGAUAGAACUGCAGUUUGUAUAGAUUCUGAAUCAAAUUAUGUAGAUUUUGUCCAACUUUACUUCACAGUUUGUAAACAAAAGUUUUUUUUUAUGUUAAAUCAAAAAUUUAUAAGCUCCUUGGGCCGGGCACUACUGCCAACUAGCCUUAUAAGAGGGAAUAGCAGAGAUCUCUCGGUCAACAUGUCUGUUUCAUCGUGAGGGGUAUUUUUGAAAGCUUGCAAUAUUUGUGCUUCACUCCUGUUGUACCUAAAGGCUUCAUACAAAUACUACAGCAUAAUCCUUUUUCGUGUUGACUAAUGUACUCUUCUUGUUGA